ACCUGGCUGGCUCAGUCAGUAGAGCAUGUGACUCUUGAUCUCAGGGUUAUGAGUUCAAGCCCCAUAUUGGGUG
rnacentral:tRNA from 1 species